CGCGGGGUAGAGCAGUUGGCAGCUCGUCGGGCUCAUAACCCGAAGGUCGUUGGUUCGAAUCCAGCCCCCGCCA
rnacentral:tRNA from 1 species